AAAUUGAAGAGUUUGAUCAUGGCUCAGAUUGAACGCUGGCGGCAGGCCUAACACAUGCAAGUCGAACGGUAACAGGAAGCAGCUUGCUGCUUCGCUGACGAGUGGCGGACGGGUGAGUAAUGUCUGGGAAACUGCCUGAUGGAGGGGGAUAACUACUGGAAACGGUGGCUAAUACCGCAUAACGUCGCAAGACCAAAGAGGGGGACCUUCGGGCCUCUUGCCAUCAGAUGUGCCCAGAUGGGAUUAGCUAGUUGGUGAGGUAACGGCUCACCAAGGCGACGAUCCCUAGCUGGUCUGAGAGGAUGACCAGCCACACUGGAACUGAGACACGGUCCAGACUCCUACGGGAGGCAGCAGUGGGGAAUAUUGCACAAUGGGCGCAAGCCUGAUGCAGCCAUGCCGCGUGUAUGAAGAAGGCCUUCGGGUUGUAAAGUACUUUCAGCGGGGAGGAAGGUGUUGUGGUUAAUAACCGCAGCAAUUGACGUUACCCGCAGAAGAAGCACCGGCUAACUCCGUGCCAGCAGCCGCGGUAAUACGGAGGGUGCAAGCGUUAAUCGGAAUUACUGGGCGUAAAGCGCACGCAGGCGGUCUGUCAAGUCGGAUGUGAAAUCCCCGGGCUCAACCUGGGAACUGCAUUCGAAACUGGCAGGCUUGAGUCUUGUAGAGGGGGGUAGAAUUCCAGGUGUAGCGGUGAAAUGCGUAGAGAUCUGGAGGAAUACCGGUGGCGAAGGCGGCCCCCUGGACAAAGACUGACGCUCAGGUGCGAAAGCGUGGGGAGCAAACAGGAUUAGAUACCCUGGUAGUCCACGCCGUAAACGAUGUCUACUUGGAGGUUGUGCCCUUGAGGCGUGGCUUCCGGAGCUAACGCGUUAAGUAGACCGCCUGGGGAGUACGGCCGCAAGGUUAAAACUCAAAUGAAUUGACGGGGGCCCGCACAAGCGGUGGAGCAUGUGGUUUAAUUCGAUGCAACGCGAAGAACCUUACCUGGUCUUGACAUCCACGGAAGUUUUCAGAGAUGAGAAUGUGCCUUCGGGAACCGUGAGACAGGUGCUGCAUGGCUGUCGUCAGCUCGUGUUGUGAAAUGUUGGGUUAAGUCCCGCAACGAGCGCAACCCUUAUCCUUUGUUGCCAGCGGUCCGGCCGGGAACUCAAAGGAGACUGCCAGUGAUAAACUGGAGGAAGGUGGGGAUGACGUCAAGUCAUCAUGGCCCUUACGACCAGGGCUACACACGUGCUACAAUGGCGCAUACAAAGAGAAGCGACCUCGCGAGAGCAAGCGGACCUCAUAAAGUGCGUCGUAGUCCGGAUUGGAGUCUGCAACUCGACUCCAUGAAGUCGGAAUCGCUAGUAAUCGUGGAUCAGAAUGCCACGGUGAAUACGUUCCCGGGCCUUGUACACACCGCCCGUCACACCAUGGGAGUGGGUUGCAAAAGAAGUAGGUAGCUUAACCUUCGGGAGGGCGCUUACCACUUUGUGAUUCAUGACUGGGGUGAAGUCGUAACAAGGUAACCGUAGGGGAACCUGCGGUUGGAUCACCUCCUUACCUUAAAGAA
rnacentral:rRNA from 3 species